ACUCAAUAGAUACCCCGGUAGUCCUGGCAGUAAACGGUGCGCGUUUGGUGUGGGAGGAUUCGACCCCUUCUGUGCCGGAGCUAAACGCGUUAAACGCGCCGCCUGGGGAGUACGGUCGCAAGAUUAAAACUCAAAGAAAUUGACGGGGGCCCGCACAAGCGGUGGAGUAUGUGGCUUAAUUCGAUGCAACGCGAAGAACCUUACCAGGCCUUGACAUGCAUCUCUAAGUCGGUGAAAGCCAGCGAGUGUAGCAAUACACAAUUUGCACAGGUGCUGCAUGGCUGUCGUCAGCUCGUGUCGUGAGAUGUUGGGUUAAAGUCCCGCAACGAGCGCAACCCCUGUGAACUGUUGCCACCGGCCUUC
rnacentral:rRNA from 1 species